rnacentral:rRNA from 1 species
GGAUGAACGCUAGCGACAGGCUUAACACAUGCAAGUCGAGGGGCAGCAUAGAAGUAGCAAUACUUUGGUGGCGACCGGCGCACGGGUGAGUAACGCGUAUGCAACCUACCUAUCAGAGGGGAAUAACCCGGCGAAAGUCGGACUAAUACCGCAUAAAACAGGGGCACCGCAUGGUGAUAUUUGUUAAAGAAAUUCGCUGAUAGAUGGGCAUGCGUUCCAUUAGGUAGUUGGUGAGGUAACGGCUCACCAAGCCGACGAUGGAUAGGGGAACUGAGAGGUUGGUCCCCCACACUGGUACUGAGACACGGACCAGACUCCUACGGGAGGCAGCAGUGAGGAAUAUUGGUCAAUGGGCGAGAGCCUGAACCAGCCAAGUCGCGUGAAGGAAGAAGGAUCUAUGGUUCGUAAACUUCUUUUGCAGGGGAAUAAAGUGCAGGACGUGUCCUGUUUUGUAUGUACCCUGAGAAUAAGGAUCGGCUAACUCCGUGCCAGCAGCCGCGGUAAUACGGAGGAUCCGAGCGUUAUCCGGAUUUAUUGGGUUUAAAGGGUGCGUAGGUGGUUUGAUAAGUCAGCGGUGAAAGUUUGCAGCUUAACUGUAAAAAUGCCGUUGAAACUGUCGGACUUGAGUGUAAAUGAGGUAGGCGGAAUGCGUGGUGUAGCGGUGAAAUGCUUAGAUAUCACGCAGAACUCCGAUUGCGAAGGCAGCUUACUAAGCUACAACUGACACUGAAGCACGAAAGCGUGGGGAUCAAACAGGAUUAGAUACCCUGGUAGUCCACGCAGUAAACGAUGAUUACUAGCUGUUUGCGAUACACAGUAAGCGGCACAGCGAAAGCGUUAAGUAAUCCACCUGGGGAGUACGCCGGCAACGGUGAAACUCAAAGGAAUUGACGGGGGCCCGCACAAGCGGAGGAACAUGUGGUUUAAUUCGAGGCAACGCGAAGAACCUUACCCAGGCUUGACAUCCUAGGACAGCCUAUGAAAGUAGGUUUUCCCUUCGGGGACCUAGAGACAGGUGUUGCAUGGCUGUCGUCAGCUCGUGUCGUGAGAUGUUGGGUUAAGUCCCGCAACGAGCGCAACCCUUGUCCUCAGUUACCAGCGGUUCGGCCGGGCACUCUGAGGAGACUGCCGAUGAUAAGUCGGAGGAAGGUGGGGACGACGUCAAGUCAUCACGGCCCUUACGCCUGGGGCUACACACGUGCUACAAUGGUCGGUACAGAGGGACGCAAGACCGCGAGGUGGAGCCAAUCCCAAAAAGCCGGCCUCAGUUCGGAUUGCAGUCUGCAACUCGACUGCAUGAAGUCGGAAUCGCUAGUAAUCGCGCAUCAGCUACGGCGCGGUGAAUACGUUCCCGGGCCU